GAGCGGAGUUAAUCGGGAGCUUGCUCCUGAUUAGCUUAGCGGCGGACGGGUGAGUAACACGUAGGCAACCUGCCCGUAAGACUGGGAUAACUACCGGAAACGGUAGCUAAUACCGGAUACGCAAAUUCCUCGCAUGGGGGAUUUGGGAAAGGCGGAGCAAUCUGUCACUUACGGAUGGGCCUGCGGCGCAUUAGCUAGUUGGUGAGGUAACGGCUCACCAAGGCGACGAUGCGUAGCCGACCUGAGAGGGUGAACGGCCACACUGGGACUGAGACACGGCCCAGACUCCUACGGGAGGCAGCAGUAGGGAAUCUUCCGCAAUGGACGAAAGUCUGACGGAGCAACGCCGCGUGAGUGAUGAAGGUUUUCGGAUCGUAAAGCUCUGUUGCCAGGGAAGAACGUCCUCUAGAGUAACUGCUAGGGGAGUGACGGUACCUGAGAAGAAAGCCCCGGCUAACUACGUGCCAGCAGCCGCGGUAAUACGUAGGGGGCGAGCGUUGUCCGGAAUUAUUGGGCGUAAAGCGCGCGCAGGCGGCUGUUUAAGUCUGGUGUUUAAUCCUGGGGC
rnacentral:rRNA from 1 species